AAAAAGGGCAUCUGCUGUGAGUGGCACAGUGCGGGCACGAGCUGCUCCUACUGCGGAAUCGCUAUCAAGAGAUUUCGGAUGCAUAAUUUUUACUCCCAGGAGCUGCUGAUAACCGACCGUUUCGGCGCUCCA